rnacentral:lncRNA from 1 species
UGGCAUCCCAGGAAGUGCAGCUGGUGAGAAGUCGCACUUCCCAGUAAGAACCAGUAAGCAACCCCUCUCCAGAAUAUUUCUGCCGCUAACUCCUUAGGUGACCUUAGGAGGCAAACACCCAUACUCCCAGCUUCACUCACCUGUCCCUGCAGUUCCAACUUGAGAAUAAUACUGUCCUACUUUAUAGAGCUGUUGCAAGCAUUACUGAGAUGAUAUCUGAACAUUCACUGCUGCUGCACUUCCCCCUUGGGCCCAGGUUGUUUAGGUCUUUGUGAAUUAACAGGAGAACCUUGAACAACAGCCCCAAAUCAAGUUAUUGAACAAGACAGACAGUAACCUCAGAGAUACAUGAGAACAUCAGGCGAGCUCCUUGAUCAGAUUCAUCUGGGGCAGCAUCCUGUUUUGAAAAAUGACCAUCCAGAGAAUGCACCUCCAGCAGAGACCGUUCAUGUGGCCUAAACUGAAUGCAACAAUCCAGAUGGCACUCUGGCUAGCCUGCCUCCCGUCAACCAGAGAGCUCUGUUGCUCAGGUUUCCUGCUUAAGAACAUAUUA